rnacentral:rRNA from 1 species
GACGAACGCUGGCGGCGUGCUUAACACAUGCAAGUCGAACGGAAAGGCCCUGCUUUUGUGGGGUGCUCGAGUGGCGAACGGGUGAGUAACACGUGAGUAACCUGCCCUUGACUUUGGGAUAACUUCAGGAAACUGGGGCUAAUACCGGAUAGGAGCUCCUGCUGCAUGGUGGGGGUUGGAAAGUUUCGGCGGUUGGGGAUGGACUCGCGGCUUAUCAGCUUGUUGGUGGGGUAGUGGCUUACCAAGGCUUUGACGGGUAGCCGGCCUGAGAGGGUGACUGGCCACAUUGGGACUGAGAUACGGCCCAGACUCCUACGGGAGGCAGCAGUGGGAAUAUUGCACAAUGGGCGGAAGCCUGAUGCAGCAACGCCGCGUGCGGGAUGACGGCCUUCGGGUUGUAAACCGCUUUCGCCUGUGACGAAGCGUGAGUGACGGUAAUGGGUAAAGAAGCACCGGCUAACUACGUG